GCUGGGGUUAAAGCCCUUGGCUGCUAACCAAAGGGUUGGUGGUUCGAUUCCACC
rnacentral:tRNA from 1 species